UCUUCUUCUUCGCAGUUGAUACUUAUUGUAAUUUCUUCUUUCUUCUACUCGUUCUUCUUCUACUCGUUCUUUUUCUUCACAGAAUAUGGUUUCGUUCUUCUUCUUCUAAUUUUCUUUUUUUUUUCUUUUUUUCUUUAUCUUGUAAAUAGAUCUCUGAGGUCAAUGUUAAACUUUUGAAUUCUUUUCAUUUGAUAAUUUACCGUGAAAAGAGCACGCGAGUUUUGGUCUUGCUUGAUUCUACUUAUAGUCAAAGGAUGCAUAAUGGUUUCUGAAAAUCUUUUGGCAUUUUGAAACUCUGUUUUUUUCAGUUUAGAAUGGAACUUGAAUGAGCUGAGAACCGUUUUUCCACUGUGUUUUUCCGUUUAAAGUAUGUGAAGGGUGAAUUCCUAUAUACUGUAACUGUUAUUGUUUAAUUGAAAGGGACCUUAGGACUUAGGAGAGUUUUAACUGGGCGAAUGAUUACUGUGUUUGCAACAAAAUAAUUUUUCAAUUUAAUAUUUAUCUUGCUCGUGAGGUGGUAAUGCAGGCUGAAGGACUCAUUGCUGAGUUGACAUUAUCAUCUUGUUAUGAUUUUGUUGAGCAAUCCUGUGAUUUUGUGUUGAAGCACCUCUCGGUGCUGCUGAAACUGAGCCUUGUUCUAGUGAUCAUGAAACAACAACAUCACAAGCCAAUGUGCAUCAAGAAGUUCAAAUUGAAGAUUAGAGAGAUGGGAUUUGGUCAGCAUGUGGGGGAGAGAGGAUCAUGGUUUUCACAACUAAUUUUGUGAAAAAACUUGACCCUGCUUUGAUUAGGAGAGGAAGGAUAAAUAUGCACAUAGAAUUGACCUAUUGUUGCUAUGAAGCAUUCAAGGUGCUUGCAAAGAAUUACUUGGAUAUUGAGUCCCACCAUUUGUUUCCUAUAAUUAAGAACUUGUUGGAAGAGACAAAGAUGACCCCUGCUGCUGUUGCUGAGAAUCUGAUGCCCAAGUCACUGAAUGAAGAAGUGGACACUUGUUUGCAGAACUUGAUUCAAGCUCUUGAGACGUCCAAGGAAGUUACAAAGAAAGCAGAGGAAAAAGCAAGAAAGAAGGCAGAGGAAACUGGAGUUGCAAAAAAGACAAAAGAAGAUUGAGCUCUCUUAUUUAGAAUAGUUCAUUGACAUAUGUGCAUUGGCCCUUUGGCUUGUACUUUGUAUGAAGAAUUUGAAUAUCUAUAUGACCCCUAUGUGUA